CAACGGAGAGUUUGAUCCUGGCUCAGGAUGAACGCUGGCGGCGUGCUUAACACAUGCAAGUCGAACGAACCUUCGGGUUAGUGGCGGACGGGUGAGUAACGCGUGAGAAUCUGCCCUCAGGAGGGGGA
rnacentral:rRNA from 2 species